rnacentral:rRNA from 1 species
GACGGAGGGGGCGAGCGUUGUUCGGAAUUACUGGGCGUAAAGGGCGCGUAGGCGGUCAUGCAAGUCGGGGGUGAAAGCCCACGGCUCAACCGUGGAAUUGCCUUCGAAACUGCGUGACUUGAGUACGGAAGAGGAGAGCGGAAUUCCCAGUGUAGCGGUGAAAUGCGUAGAUAUUGGGAGGAACACCAGUGGCGAAGGCGGCUCUCUGGUCCGAAACUGACGCUGAGGCGCGAAAGCCAGGGGAG